AUGCAAGUCGAACGGUAACAGUGAUGCUUGCACCGCUGACGAGUGGCGAACGGGUGAGUAAUGCAUCGGAAUGUACCGUGUAAUGGGGGAUAGCUCGGCGAAAGCCGGAUUAAUACCGCAUACGCCCUGAGGGGGAAAGUGGGGGACCGUAAGGCCUCACGUUAUACGAGCAGCCGAUGUCUGAUUAGCUAGUUGGUGGGGUAAAGGCUCACCAAGGCAACGAUCAGUAGCGGGUCUGAGAGGAUGAUCCGCCACACUGGGACUGAGACACGGCCCAGACUCCUACGGGAGGCAGCAGUGGGGAAUUUUGGACAAUGGGCAGCAAGCCUGAUCCAGCCAUGCCGCGUGUCUGAAGAAGGCCUUCGGGUUGUAAAGGACUUUUGUCCGGGAGCAAAUCCCAGUGGUUAAUACCUACUGGGGCUGAGAGUACCGGAAGAAUAAGCACCGGCUAACUACGUGCCAGCAGCCGCGGUAAUACGUAGGGUGCAAGCGUUAAUCGGAAUUACUGGGCGUAAAGCGUGCGCAGGCGGUUGUGCAAGUCUGAUGUGAAAGCCCCGGGCUUAACCUGGGAACGGCAUUGGAGACUGCACGACUAGAGUGCGUCAGAGGGGGGUAGAAU
rnacentral:rRNA from 1 species